rnacentral:rRNA from 1 species
UGGGGAAUUUUGCACAAUGGGCGCAAGCCUGAUGCAGCGACGCCGCGUGAGGGAUGAAGGCCUUCGGGUUGUAAACCUUUUUCGCUCAUGGUCAAGCCGCAGCUUUGGGUUGUGGUGAGGGUAGUGGGUAAAGAAGCGCCGGCUAACUACGUGCCAGCAGCCGCGGUAAUACGUAGGGCGCGAGCGUUGUCCGGAAUUAUUGGGCGUAAAGGGCUUGUAGGCGGUUGGCUGCGUCUGCCGUGAAAUCCUCUGGCUUAACUGGGGGCGUGCGGUGGGUACGGGUUGACUUGAGUGCGGUAGGGGAGACUGGAAUUCCUGGUGUAACGGUGGAAUGCGCAGAUAUCAGGAGGAACACCGGUGGCGAAGGCGGGUCUCUGGGCCGUUACUGACGCUGAGGAGCGAAAGCGUGGGGAGCGAACAGG